AUUAGUGUUUUUCAAGGGUAACUUUAAAUGAGUGUUGAGAUGAAGGCGAAGGUAAUCCAAAUGCAAAAACAAGGUCAUGCACAAUUAAAUAUUCAGUAUUGGAUGUUAUAUACACAAUAACAAUGAUGAAUAAAAUAAAACCUCUAGUAUUGCACACUUUUUUCCGCCAA